CCUACGGGAGGCAGCAGUGGGGAAUAUUGCACAAUGGGCGAAAGCCUGAUGCAGCAACGCCGCGUGAAGGAAGACGGUUUUCGGAUUGUAAACUUCUAUCAAUAGGGAAGAAAGAAAUGACGGGACCUAAAUAAGAAGCCGCGGCUAACGACGUGCCAGCAGCCGCGGUAAUACGUAGGGGGCAAGCGUUAUCCGGAAUUACUGGGUGUAAAGGGGGAGUAGGCGGCAAGGUAAGCGAGAUGUGAAAGCCUUAGGCUUAACCACAGGAUUGCAUAACGAACUAUCUAGCUAGAGUACCGGAGAGGUAAGCGGAAUUCCUAGUGUAGCGGUGAAAUGCGUAGAUAUUAGGAAGAACACCAGUGGCGAAGGCGGCUUUCUGGACUGUAACUGACGCUGAGGCUCGAAAGCGUGGGGAGCGAACAGGAUUAGAUACCCGGGUAGUC
rnacentral:rRNA from 1 species